rnacentral:rRNA from 1 species
AGUUGCCAUCAUUAAGUUGGGCACUCUAAAGAGACUGCCGAUGACAAAUCGGAGGAAGGUGGGGAUGACGUCAAAUCAUCAUGCCCUUUAUGUCCUGGGCUACACACGUGCUACAAUGGUCGGUACAACGAGAAGCAAGUCAGCGAUGGCAAGCAAAUCUCUAAAAGCCGAUCCCAGUUCGGAUUGCAGGCUGCAACUCGCCUGCAUGAAGUCGGAGUUGCUAGUAAUCGCGGAUCAGAAUGCCGCGGUGAAUGCGUUCCCGGGUCUU